rnacentral:rRNA from 1 species
UACGAGGGGGGCAAGUGUUGUUCGGAAUCACUGGGCGUAAAGGGUGCGUAGGUGGCGCGCUAAGUCGGGUGUGAAAUUUCGAGGCUUAACCUCGAAACUGCAUUCGAUACUGGCGUGCUUGAGGACUGGAGAGGAGACUGGAAUUCAUGGUGUAGCAGUGAAAUGCGUAGAGAUCAUGAGGAAGACCAGUGGCGAAGGCGGGUCUCUGGACAGUUCCUGACACUGAGGCACGAAGGCCAGGGGAGCAAACGGG